rnacentral:tRNA from 1 species
CGAGAGGGUUAGAAGACCUGCUAACUCUUCAGCCUGGAAAA